rnacentral:rRNA from 1 species
AAUAGAUACCCGGUAGUCCAGCCGUAAACGAUGCUCGCUAGGUGUCAGGCAUGGCGCGACCGUGUCUGGUGCCGCAGGGAAGCCGUGAAGCGAGCCACCUGGGAAGUACGGCCGCAAGGCUGAAACUUAAAGGAAUUGGCGGGGGAGCACAACAACGGGUGGAGCCUGCGGUUUAAUUGGACUCAACGCCGGACAACUCACCGGGGACGACAGCAAUAUGUAGGCCAGGCUAAAGACCUUGCCUGAAUCGCUGAGAGGAGGUGCAUGGCCGUCGCCAGUUCGUACUGUGAAGCAUCCUGUUAAGUCAGGCAACGAGCGAGACCCGUGCCCACUGUUACCAGCAUGUCCUCCGGGACGAUGGGUACUCUGUGGGGACCGCCGAUGUUAAAUCGGAGGAAGGUGCGGGGCUACGGUAGGUCAGUAUGCCCCGAAUUUCCCGGGCUACACGCGGGCUACAAUGAAUGGGACAAUGGGUCCCUACCCCGAGAGGGGUUGGUAAUCUCCCAAACCCAUCCGUAGUUCGGAUCGAGGGCUGUAACUCGCCCU